AGGAGAAUCGCUUGAACCCAGGAGGUGGAUUGUUGCAGUGAACUGAGACUGCACCACUGCAGUUCAGCCUGGGUGACAGAGUGAGACUCCGUUUAAAAAAAAAAAAUGUGUAUAGUUCAGAGGUAUUUAUAAAUUCAUGGAGUUAUGCAAACAUUAUCUGAAAAGAAAAUGUUUUGUGUUGAUUUUUACUGGAUAUGAGGGGUUCUUCACAUUUUAACAGGAGGAUCUUUCUGUAUAUUUUUGUUUGUUUGUUUUUUUGAGAUGGAGUUUCACUCUGUCACCCAGGCUGGAGUGCAGUGGCAGUGUAGUCCCGAG
rnacentral:lncRNA from 1 species